rnacentral:rRNA from 1 species
CCUACGGGGGGCUGCAGUGAGGAAUAUUGGUCAAUGGACGAGAGUCUGAACCAGCCAAGUAGCGUGAAGGAUGACUGCCCUAUGGGUUGUAAACUUCUUUUAUAUGGGAAUAAAAUGUUCCACGUGUGGGAUUUUGUAUGUACCAUAUGAAUAAGGAUCGGCUAACUCCGUGCCAGCAGCCGCGGUAAUACGGAGGAUCCGAGCGUUAUCCGGAUUUAUUGGGUUUAAAGGGAGCGUAGGUGGAUUGUUAAGUCAGUUGUGAAAGUUUGCGGCUCAACCGUAAAAUUGCAGUUGAAACUGGCAGUCUUGAGUACAGUAGAGGUGGGCAGAAUUCGUGGUGUAGCGGUGAAAUGCUUAGAUAUCACGAAGAACUCCGAUUGCGAAGGCAGUUCACUGGACUGAAACUGACACUGAGGCUCGAAAGUGUGGGUAUCAAACAGGAUUAGAUACCCGAGUAGUC